rnacentral:rRNA from 1 species
GAUGAACGCUGGCGGCGUGCCUAAUACAUGCAAGUCGAGCGAACAGACGAGGAGCUUGCUCCUCUGACGUUAGCGGCGGACGGGUGAGUAACACGUGGAUAACCUACCUAUAAGACUGGGAUAACUUCGGGAAACCGGAGCUAAUACCGGAUAAUAUAUUGAACCGCAUGGUUCAAUAGUGAAAGACGGUUUUGCUGUCACUUAUAGAUGGAUCCGCGCCGCAUUAGCUAGUUGGUAAGGUAACGGCUUACCAAGGCAACGAUGCGUAGCCGACCUGAGAGGGUGAUCGGCCACACUGGAACUGAGACACGGUCCAGACUCCUACGGGAGGCAGCAGUAGGGAAUCUUCCGCAAUGGGCGAAAGCUUGACGGAGCAACGCCGCGUGAGUGAUGAAGGUCUUCGGAUCGUAAAACUCUGUUAUUAGGGAAGAACAAAUGUGUAAGUAACUAUGCACGUCUUGACGGUACCUAAUAGAAAGCCACGGCUAACUACGUG